GAUUAGAAUUAAAUGAGUUCAUGCUUAAUCUAGUUUCAUAUAAGAAGGUCGAGGUUAAAUCUGUGCCAGCAGCCGCGGUUAGACUGGUACGGCUAGUAAGAGUUGUUAGGAGAGGUAGUUAAAGUUUGGUUUUUUAGCUAAAGAGUUUAGGGUGGGGUGAAAUCCUUAAAGUAAGUUUCUUUAGAGAGAAAAGAAGUUAUUGAAGCUACGGAAGCUGGAGUUAAAAAUAGGAUUAGAUACCCUAGUAUUUCCAGCCGCAAAUUUUUAGGCUUAGUUAGUAUUAGUUAUUUUCUUAAAAUUUAGAGAAUUUGGCGGUACUUUAGUCUAGUCAGAGGAACCUGUUUCGUAAACGAUAAACCACGAAUUAUCUUACUCUCUUUUGUUUUUCAGCUUGUAUACCGUCAUUUAUCUAACUAACUUUAAAAAAAGUUUAUUGGGAGGGGUUUAGGUAAACUCAGGAUAUUAGAUCAAGGUGCAGCUAAUGGGAGAGGUGAGGAUGGGUUACAAUAAAUUUUAUUUAUUGCGGAAUGACUCUUGAAUAUGGGGUUAUUGAAGAAGGAUUUGAUUGUAAUUGGAUAAUAAUAAGAUUAUUUGAUAUUAGCUCUAAAGUGUGCACACAUCGCCCGUCGCUCUCAUUAGAAUAACGUGAGAUAAGUCGUAACAAAGUAGGCGUACCGGAAGGUGCUCCUAGAUAGAGGUAU
rnacentral:rRNA from 1 species